GAGAGAGAGAGAGAUUGACCUUUUGUUAUGAUGAAAACUUGUGAACAAGCCAAGACAAUAUAUAUAUACCAACUACGUCUUAAUUAAAUGUUUUUUCUCCCUCUUUAUAUGCCUAGAAGUCGUGAAUGGGGAUACUAUGAUAACCAAGUAUCAUUAGAUGAUCCAAUCAGAUAUUGGGUCGUCUGACUUUGGUGGCUUGAUAGAAAUUUACCAAAAAGUAAAUGAUCUCAUUUGACAUGAAAUGCAGAAUUAAAUGAUCAGUAUUCACAUA
rnacentral:misc_RNA from 1 species